rnacentral:lncRNA from 1 species
GUGAAAAAUCACUUAGGACUGUGCGAUGUGAGUUGGAAGUGUUCCCUUCGAGCCCUACAGACAGAAACCUUUCCGAGUAAGGGCUCUCAAUCCCGAGGGGCUGCCCAGCACAUAGGUACUGUGUGAGAGAGGCUGGAGGAUGCUUAGGAUGCUCUCUGUGUGUGUGUGCCCUGGGAUAGGAUCUGCUGACAGCUGAGGGCCGACUUUCUACUGCUCCCGGAGUCAAAGCAAAACUACUAUGAACUUUGAGAAUAGCACAGUUUGACUUGUCUCUGCUCGGCAAAGUUCAGUGCUGCAUGCAGUCCGGGUGGGUACGGUGACGUAAGGCUCUCAGAGUAUUGAAGCGUUGUGGUUAAUGCUUUAUUUUCAUGCUGUCACUUAAGAAUCGGUGCUUGUUAUUAGUUUUCAUUUGCUUGGACUUUCUGUGUCCUGAUAGUUUCAGAACAGUUGCUCGGAGCUCUGCGGAUGAGCACCGUGUGCUGUCUGGGGGAGCUGGCAGCGGAUGGCUCCCAUGGUUUGUGCUCAGAGGGUCUGCAUGGAUGGAGCUGCUGCUCCUUGUUGGGAAAGCUUGGUUGGACUCCUAGGUGAAAUACUGCAUAACGGCAGGCAUUAAGGCAUGAACGCAGAGAGCUUUAAUAAGCUGAGUUCUGCGAAUCAGGGAUGGAAAUCAAAGCACUGCUUAUUUAUUUUUCUUCUGACCUUGUGAACCAUGAGGAUGCAGUGUGCAGAAGUCCAUAGCAUCUGCCUCUAAGAAUUAAAUUUUCAUAUGGUGACCAAGCUAGCAAAUCUCUGACUAAAUAUAACAACUUUUUUUUUUCCUCCUCCCCUUAUCUCUAGGCUUACUGAGAAAUAUAAUCUAAUCUCACGUUCCUAAAGUAGGCUUUGAUGGCAGCCGAACUAAUGCAUGCAGGGAGCCCUACGCACAUAGCUGGUCCUGCUGUACUCACCCUGUGCAGGGCGCAGUGGAUGCAGUGCACAAAUCCUGCAGCCAGAAAGUAUUGCGUGGACCCGGAGCUCUGACUGACGUGCUUAGGCCCAGAGACUUUUACAUUUUACAGUCACAAUCCAGGUUUGUGGGUUUUACGCAGCCUUUAUCCACGGAUCAUUGCAAAGUUGUAGGAGGUGAAUCAGUCCUCAGCAUUUUUUUCUGCUGCCGUGCCUGGAACUAUCAGCUUUUUUUCUAUCUUUUUUUUUUUUUUUUCCUUUUUUUUCCCCUCUCCCUCUUGUUUUAGAAUAAUUCAUCUGCAGAACUAUUUUGACAAUUUACUAUAGCUUAGAUGGGCUAUGUUUUCUGAAGCAUUCAACAUACAACAAUAAAACUGCCAUUGGAGAAAACUACCACAUUUAGUUACUUUUUUUCCAGAAUGUCUUCCCCUCCCCAACCCAGAAAGCAUUGCUUUUGUCUUCAGUCAUCUUUUGCUUUUCCUGACAACAGAUAGAUGGCAAGUUAGUAAUUCGGAGCAUCUAUUUACUUUUGCUAUUUGAAAUAGCAAUUUCCUGUUUAUUGCUUUGGGAUAAAUUACAGUGCUCUUAUGCUAUAUGUGUAGCUUUUGGUAUAAGUGAUUGGAAUAGGUGGAAAAAGUUAGCUUGUCUUUUUUUUCUUUCUUUCUCUCUUUUUUUUUUUUCCUUCUCUUUUUUUUUCCUCGAUUCCUAAGAAACCACUGCUCUGGUAUGGCGGAAUUGUUUCUCAAGAGAAUACAUUCAUUUCUCUUCAUUGAAGAUUAAAGCUUGGCAGUUCUCAAGUGCAGACUCUUGUGUAAUAGCUUCUGUCAGGGCGGUGGCUUUGCUGGGGCAAGGAUGACGUCCAGGCUGCUGUUGGUAACGGUUUGGAUUUUGUAAGGUUGCCCUUAAUUGAACAGCUCUCUUGUGUUUGACAUUUGCCAUGACCUCUUGCUGUAAGGCAAAGGAGACAGUUAAUGAUUUUGAAGCUUGUCUUUCACUCAGUGGAAAAUGAGGAUGUUUGGUUCUCAGUCUUGUUCUAACUCCUAGCCAGUGUGGAAUUUUCAUAUACACGCACAUAUAUAGGAUGCUCUAUAUUCUCCCUAUAGCAAUUGAUACUUCUACGUAUGUAUGGAAAAAUUUAAACACGUACUGACAGCCUAAGUAUUUGCAGAUUGUUUUAUAGAUACAAUAGUCUAUAAUAUCUGCAAGUCUUAUCUUUAAAUUGCUGCCUUGAUUAAUCAGUGUUUGCAGGCAGCAAUUAAAAGUUAUUAUAAGCGGUGAAGAAAGCAAUGAAGAGAAAGCAGACUAGGGGUGGCAAACAUGGCACUGGGAAUGGACAACACAGGGAAACAGGAAGCAGAGGACACAAAACAAGGUAAAAUGGGAAGAAACAGAAGAAAUAACUGGGAAAGUGGGAUGGAAGUAAUGCUAGCAGGCAGGGAAAGGGGAAAAAUGGGACUUUCUGUCUGGCUUCACACAGAUUAAAUUCAAACAUCAAAUUGUGCUGGUCAUGUGGUUGACAUUAUGGUAGUGGUGGGCAGAAGCUCGAGCCUGUAGAGAAGACCUGGUUUAGUUAUCUUAGUUCAGUUCCAAUUGAUAGAUCUUGUGCUCCGCACGAACAGCCCAUGUGGCUACUUUGCCGUGGUACCUCUAUGUAUUUGCUCCCUGGUAAUUAUAUUGAAAUUGCUGAGUUGAGCUUUCAAAGAGCUCGUGGUGGUAACUGCUUUCCUUCCCAAACAGUCAAAUUGCUGACUCGGUGGUGAGGGCCUUCCCAGCCCAUUAGAUGCAUGUGGGCCUUUAUGCCUCUUUCAAAACAUCAUUUUCUAGCAAACAUCACCCUUUUUUUUUGUUUUGUUUUGUUUUGCAGAAUAAAAUAAACAAAUAGCUUUUUCUUGAAUGUGUUAUACUGUGGUGCAAAGGAGCAUUUUUGUGUCAUACCAGAUGUCUAAACCCUACAGACUGAAAAAGAUGUCUUCGUGAGUCAUCUGAUGGAGUCUCGCACAGAUGCUUGACAUUAAGAUGUAUGAAACUUACAUACAUAGUUUAUGUAUGCGAAAGUAUUCCCAUUAUUUUUCUUAACAGCUGAGUAGUAAUUUUUUUUCACCUAAUGUGAGCCGGAAUUGGCUAUCUUCUUGAAUGUUUUGCCUUAGAAUUCAUUAAAUAAUGGAACAGUAGUUUUCCAAGCCAACAUGAAAUGAAUUAACUCCAAAAUUUAUAUAAAGAUUCAAGGAAAAUACAGAGAUUUUCAUUGCUGCCACUCAGGCAAACUGCCAGAUCUCUGUGUAAUAAUGUUAUUUGUGCCAAAAUUGUGGGUAAUGCCAGAAGAACCAGAUUCUGUGGAAUAGACAGAGUGGAAUGGGACAGAGCAAUGUAAAGGUUUGCUUGAUGGUAAGAGCUUGCUUUUUUGAACGGGUUAUUAAAAUGAUUUGUUAUACCUUUUACCUCCUUUAACUUCCCUUUGAAUACAUCUUGGGAAGUGCUUCACUGACCCAUUGGAGUAUCUAGGAAUUGCAUUCAAGUAUCUAGGAAUUGCCACAUACACUCUGUGCAACUUAAUGGUAGGUCUAUAAAAUCUUUUGACCUCUGAGUAACUUUUCUUCAUAGAAUCAUUGAGUUUCAACCCCCCUGCUAUGUGCAGGGUCGCCAACCACCAGACCAGGCUGCCCAGAGCCACAUCCAGCCUGGCUCUUUUUCGUACAUUUGUUACUAUAUAGUUCUGAUCUUUUUAAAAAUCUCUUUCCUCUUCCUGUGGUAUUCUUAAUCUUUUUUACUUUAGGCCUCAAAGUCCCCUUUCCUCACAGUGCACUUAUUUAUUUAUUUAUUUUGCAUUUUUUUACUUUCAAUAGGGUAGACUUACAUCAGCAUCAAUUAGGAGAUGUUUACAUUAAUUAGGUGAUGCAGGAUAGCCUGUUACUUUUCCAUGUCCCUUCUUUGAGCAUGGAGAGACAAAACAUUGUUUCCCUGUAGAAGUGGUGAGUUUGGCUGAUGGAGUGGUUGAUGUGGUAGGGACCCCGGGGUCCUUGUAGCCCACUCCGCUUCAGCAGGGACACCCAGAGCAGGGUGCCCCCAUCUGUGUCCAGGCAGCUUCUGCAGAUCUCCAAGGAGGGGACCCCACAGCCUUUGGGCAGCCUGUCCUGGUACUCAGUGAGGAUUACAAAAAAUAUGUGGGUUUCUUUGUGGUGGAUUUCCAGAGCAGUCUUUGCAAAUUUUGUGACUGUGGAUGGGUAUUUGAUGAAAGAUGCAACUUCAGCAAAUGCACCUCUGUGCUGCUCAAACUCCCCAAAGUUGGCAUUUCACUCCGCAGCUUGCCUACAUGUUGCUUACCUUUCAUUCAGUUUUCUUGUGAUUUGUAUCCCCAAAGAAGGUUUCAGUGCUCCUUGUGCUCAUGAUCAUUUAUUUUCGCAAGAGCUGAGCAGGAGUCCCCUGCAGAGACAUUAGCAGUGUCAGGUUGUGUGGUGAAGAGCAUGAGGUGCCUGAGGCUUUCCUCUCUGCAAAAGAGUAAAAAAAGAGCAGCAAGAAAGAGCUGAAGCAAGUGGGUUUGGGGGCCAGGAGCUUGCUUGUACAACCGUAUUUUUCCCCCCCCUCUUAGGAUCAUGAUGCCACAAGUAAAUGAAGUACUGUUCUCCUACUGUAUGUUCACACUACUGGCUAUUGGAUGCCUUAGCUCUGGAAGAAUGCAACUUAUCCUUGUCUGAUUUAGGAGUUUUGGAUAACUUACAUCCUAACAUACAUAGAAUCAUUAAGGUUGGUAAAGACCAGUAGGAUCAUCUAGUCCAACCAUCAACCCAUCGCCACCACUCCCACUAAACCACACGUGCCUACUCCUCCUUUUCUCUGCAGAUGUGAUAUUAGGGCAGUCCCAGCUCAUGUCUGUGUGUGCUCCCUCUCUGUCCUCAUGUCUGAUAUGCAGUUGGAACAGUUGAAGUCCCAAGGCUUGGAGGAGAUCUUCAGGGGAACAAAAAAACUAAGAUGCAUUUACUUAUUCAUUUGCAAUAUGUGGUAUGUUCUUAGACUGUCAAAAAACUUUGUAGGUUGUGAAAUUAGUUACUGCAUAACCAACAUUGCUGCCCAAUUCUGUACUAACUUUGAAAUUUACCAAAGCUUUAUUGCAUAAAUGAGAAGUAUUGCUGCAUAACUCAAGUAUAAUGUACAGCAUAAUAUGCAAGAUUGCUUGUAAUUAGACAUUUACUAAUUGCUUUAGAAUCUAAUUGUGUAUAGCUUUUUGUCCUUGGAUGAUUAUUCCAAGUGAAAUGCAGCAGUAUUAUCUUUUUUCUCAUCACUGACAUACUAUUCACUGAUUUAAGAACAUUUUCUUUCAGUAGUACCUAAAAUAAUACAAACAGUAAUCCUGUGGAAGUAGAACCUUCUGUGAGUGUGUUGGAGUCAGCAUUGGGUUGCUGCUGGGUAUUGGGAUGGUAGUAGGCAAAACUGCAGGGUCCUCCUGGGGCCAUGUGAAACAGACCACAUUCUGUCAAGAGAGUUGGGAGGGGAUAAUGCUUUGGUAACAACAAAUCCUACCUUGGACUGAGUUCUGUCUGGCAAGAGCCUGAAUUCUGAUACUAGGAAAUGGUUUCUGUCCCUUAUUGCUAUAAGUGUACGUGGAGGUUGCUUGGAAAUGUUUGCUGGAAAAACUGUUUGCUAGAAUUACCCAUCUUCACUUUGAAAUCCACAAGGAUGGAUUAGAUGUGUUCGUUACGUGGUCAUGGAGUAUGCAAUUAGCACUCUGGCUGGAUAUUUAUUAUGUAUCUGGUGAGGAAGUGCUUUCUGCUGCCAUUUUUAUUCUAAUAAACAAUGCUUUAAUAUGGAUAAUCCUCUUUUAACAUUAAUUGGAACACAGAGCUAAUGCUUGCACAUCUUCAGUUUGGAAACUGAUGGGACAGCUGUUGUGCGCCGCUGCAGUAUCAGCAAAGCAAAACUGGAGGGAAGCGUGAAGGAAUCAUGCAUUAUAAGCAUGAAUGUAUGGGUUUUGUGCUUUGUCCAGUCACAUUUCCAGUUUCAUACGUGCUGAUAUAGUCAUUAUAAGGGCUUUAAUUGGCAAAGAGCUUGCCAGCUUGCCUUUGCCAGCUCUGCUGAAAUCCUGGCCAAACUUCUCAAGAGUGCAGUAAUCUGCAGUUGGCUGAGAGCGGCGGAUAUAAAUAGAUGAUACGGUGCUGAAUUACAAUUGAUUAUUGAAAUUCAGCUAGUAUGUAAUAGAUAGCCAUAAAAAGGCAACAUUGUUUCCCUAAUAUGGGGCUUGAAAUGAAUGCGGUCCUUUUUUUAAUUUAGCAAAGUUAGUGUUUAUCACAAAGUCAUAAAAUCUAGCCUAUAUUUUUGUGAUUCUUUGCAAACAAAAAUCUUCUUCUGUUCUUAAUAAGAAAAGAGUUUUGGUCUGUUAUCUGGGUGGCUUCCAGUAGGAACAGUUCAUUAUUUUAUUUUGGGCCAGGCAAAAGCUGGAUGAAGACAAAGUGCAUUUUAUAUAUAAAUUGCUUUUCAAGCAUUUUUCUUCAGAAACCAUAGAGGAAAAUAACAGUAUUCAGCAGAUGCUCUUCUCAAAAUCAUUUGCUUUACCUCCUCUCGAUAAUAAAGAAUAUUUGGGAUUUAACAGGAACAUGGGGGGGAAAAAAAGCUAACAAAAUGAGUAAAACACAAAGUGUUAUCCAUGGAAUCAGUUUUCAUUAAUAUGUGCUUAACUCCAUAAUGUUAAUUUCUAGAAGCUACGAUAAUACGGAGGUCCAAUUGAGUGGGGAGGAUUUGUUGGUUCCUUCAACCUGUAUGGUUGGUGUGUGCGUUUGUGUUAGAUCUUGCCUUCGCUGCUUGUCACCUAAUGGGAGGUUUUACAUUUGGCUUCCAGAAGAGAGCCAGGCCUUAAGCUGGGCGUUCCAAUGAGCUGCUGGGGAAGUCCCCUUUGGGAACAGCUGAGCCAAAAUGCCAAUUCCUGGGACAGGAAAAUAGGGAGUGAGGAAAUGCUGUGUGUGGGGCUGUGCCUGAUAUGCUGUCUCUGUGGCGUUUAGAAUCUGCAGCACUGCCAAGUAAUGGGUGUGUGAGAAGUCCAAAGUCUGUCGCUUGCAAAGCAUUAUGUGAGGUAGACACUGGGAGUUGGCACUGAGGCUUUGUCUCACUUCAUGCUGUGUGCCUGGAAAAGCCAACAUUGAUUUGUUGAGUCACUUCUGCUCCUUUGGAGCGUGGGACCUGAUUACAGUCAGUUCAGGUCAUCUUAGGUCAAAGACAAGCAGGUUAUUGGAAGACCUUUCAGUCAUUAAGUCAACUUGUAUCUUGCUGCACUCAAACCAGCAGUUCUUCUGUUGUAGGUGCUGUGGAGCUGUGGUUUGGGGAAUUACUUCUCAUCAGCUCCCACUAAGCAUCGACUUCUUGGGCAGCACAGUACGUGGUGAAGGUAUCUGCUAUUAUAUCACAGGAGCAGGAAAGCAGAGAGCCAUGGCUUUUCCUAGUUUGAUAGCAAUGGACUGGUGAGUGUCUGCUGCUGAGUUUCCAUCUGGUCUCUGGCUGUGCAUUCUGCAGCUUCAUCUGCCUUACUGUGAAGUUUCUCGCUGCUGCCAUUUUCAGUGGUGUAUUAAUGAUGAAUACAUCAGCAGUCAGCAUGCUAAUAAGCAGCCUUAUCUAUCCUCAAGCAGCUACUGAAAAGCCAGGGGUUGCACACUGCUCCUAAUUCAGCUCUGAGGGAUGGAGCUCAGUGAAGGAAAAUGCUGGGGUGAAAACUUGGGCUGCAUCAAAAGCAGCAUGGCCAGCAGGGUGAGGGAGGUGGUCCUGCCUCUCUGAGGCCUCACCUGGGGUACUGCAUCCAGAUGUGGAGUCCUCAGUACAGGAGAGAUGUGGACCUGCUGGAGCCUGUCCAGAAGAGGGCCACAAAAGUGAUCCCGGGGGUGGAACUCCUCUCCUGUGUGGACAGGCUGAGAGAUGGAGCUGUUCAGCCUGGGGAAGGGAAGGCUCCGGUGAGAGCUGAUAGUGGCCUUUCAGUAUCUACAGGGGGCUGCAAGAAAGAACAGACUCUUUAGCAGGGUCUGUUGUGAUAGGACAAGGGGAAAUGGUUUCAAACCAAAAGAGGGGAGAUUUAGAUUGGAUAUAAGGAAAAAGUCUUUUACAGUGAGAGUGGUGAGGCACUGGCACAGGUUGCACAGAGAGGUGGUGGAUGCCCCAUCCCUGGAGACACUCAUGGUCAGGCUGGAAGGGGCUCUGAGCACCUGGUUGAACAGUAGGUAUCCCUGUUCAUGAAGGGGAGUCAGACAAGAUAACCUUUGAGGGUCCCUUCCAACUCAAAUGAUUCUGUGAUUCCAUUAAAUGAAUUAAGGUGUGAGAUUCUUCCUUUUGAUGUUUGUUUUAAUGCUAACAAGCAAGGUGUGCUGCCUGGUUUACACUAAAUGCCGAGGAAGAAAAGUCGCAGCCAAGCAGUUGCUGGGGCAGAUGCUGAGUUCCUAUAACUUGCUGUACUUCUGUAAUUUCAUAAUGCUUGUAACCAGUUCUUUCAUGGGAUUUUCUUUAUGGUCUCUGGCACAGCGCUGGGUCUCUGGAUUGCUCAAUAAAACCCAGACCUCUGCAUGCUUUAUAUCGUUCACAAUGAAUCAGACCAUUCACUCGCAUCCAGAGCAGCGAUGAAUUGCUUGAAAUUUCCUUGCCUAGGAAGGAGCAAAUCGCUCUCCCGUUUGCGGGAGGAGGAGGAGGCAGAAGGAAAGGAAGCAUGGGCACGAGGCGUGCGGCCAAGGUUGGGGGGCAGCACCCAUUGCCCUCACUGGAGCCCGGGGUGGAUGCGUGGGGUGCGGGAGGCUCCGCUACCGCCGCUGCUCUCUGCCUGCAGCCACGGGAGGGAGCUCCGCGCUGGGAGCGGGGCGGUCCCGGCGGCGCUCGGCUCUGGCUGCUCUGAGGACGGGAUCUGCGCUCUGCAGAACGGCUGUGGCUGCGCUCCCUUCUCUGCAGCUCCUUGUUUCUCGGGGCCCUGGGAUCAAUGCUGUUCUAUGCAUCCGACGGGCUGAAAGGUUACGCGAGGCAUUGUGUGCCGGGCAGAACAAGAGGCUCUUUUCACGCGGCGCAUCGCUGCGGUUGCCGGCAACUUUUAAUGAAUGAGGAAAUGUUACUUUUUCUUCCCGGCUUUAUUUUUGUGGUUGACAUUUCAGAAUUACUGAACAAACAUCUGUAAAGGGCACUGAGGAAGCAGAAGAUUAAGAUGCGAAGAUAUGAAGUAGACUGAUGUAAAUACUUCAAACACUGCUCUCAUUGAUCCUUUCCCUUCUUUAGUAGAUUGUGCCAGACAAUCCAGAAUGGAAAUAAGUUUUUACACACUGUUCCCCACACCCCAGAUAAGUGGGGUUUUGUUUUGUUUUGCUCUCUUCUGCGAGAGGAACUCAGUAAAGGUACUCCUUUAUCCUGAAGAAUGCUAAAGAGCAGUAGAGACACAGAAUAAUAGAAUCAAUCAUAGAACUGAGUUGAGAGGGAUCUUUAAAAGUCAUCUGGUCCAACGCCCCUGCAAUGAACAGGGACACCUACACUAGAUCCAGUGCUCAGAGCCCCAUCCAGCCUGACCUUGAUGUCUCUGAGGAUGGGUCUUCCACCACCUCAGGACAAUCUGUGGCAGUGCCACACCACCCUUAUUGCAAAACAUUUCUUCCUUAUGUCCAAUCUAAAUCUCCCCUCUUUUAAGUUUGAAGCCAUUUCCACUUGUCCUAUCACUCUUCUCAUAGAAGAGGUGUUUCAUCCCUGGGAUCAUUGUUGUAGCCCUCCUCUGGGCAUGCUCCAACAGGUCCUUGUCCCUUCUGUACUGAGGACUCCACAUCUGGACACAGUACUCCAGGAUAUGGAUGGCUUUCUGGGCUUUAAGGGCACAUUGCUGGCUUAUGUCCAGUUAAACCACAUAAACCACACAAAUUUAUAAUAGCUUUAUAGCUUAUCCAAUUGUUGGAAGCAGUGCUUUAUUUAAAUUUUACAUAGUUUAAUGUGUUGUAAUUCCUCCCCCAGCAGAAUACUCUUCUUGGACCUGCCUCUUGUAUGCACCAGCACACUUCUGCAUAAUUUGCCCCUUGUGCAAGUUCUUGUGCCUCAGGGAAGAAAGCUCAUCUCAGUGCUGGGAGGAGAAGGUUGGGAGGUGGUGAUCAGGCUGCAUGGGGGGCUUACGAUCCUUAGAGUUCAAAAAUAAGAAUUUCUACUGUCCUGUUGCAGUUUCUUGAUAAACCAACAUAACAGGAAUAUUUUAGUUUCCCAAUUUUCAUAUUUGAAAUGAAACUUCUGUUCCCUAUCCAUACUGUUGUUGAUCACCUCAAGAAGCUGUAUGGCCUAAGCACUUAUGAAGUAAUAAGAAUCUCUGUUCCCUACCAAAGGUCUCUUGUCUAUCCAAAGUAACUUGACAAAUAUUUGAAGGGGAAAAAGCUUCUGAAUGCCACGUGAAGUUAAAGAUGAGUAUGUUAGAGGGGAAUCAGAUAUGCAAUAAUAGAAAAAGGUAUACUGUAGAUUGAAAAUGCAGCAAUGUAUGUUUUCUAAAUGAAUAAUUUAAUUUAAAAAAUGACAGUGGAGACUCAGAAUAAAGAUUUAACUCAGUCCCAAUGUGAGACUUAUCAUCUUUGUAGUUUUUAACUCUAACACAAGGAGCCCUUAAUAUGAGAGUUUUACUUAAGAAGUAUUUUCAUCUAAUGGAGAAAUCUUCAAGAUACAAAAUAUGUAUUCAGAGAAUAUAAUGAACGUGAAGGAAACGGGGUUGAUAUUUUAAGAAACAGUAGUCUUCCAAAUCAAACUCCCUCUUCUGUACGUAAAGGGAUGGUUUAUGUCAUUUUGAUGCUUGGUGUUUGUGAUGAUCAGUGUUCCUCACAUAAAAGGAUGCGUGAACAGCAUCAACUAAUAACACACGUCUGUGAUCAUCACUUUUAGCUUUACUUUAAACCUAAUGAGAGUUAUCACUUAGCCAGUCUGAAAUUAAAUUAAAUCCAUCAACUAAUUAAAAAAUAAAUAAGAAAUCCUGGAAGAACUGCAGACUGAAGAUAAGGUUGGGAGUGCAGUAUUCUGUUGUGAUACAGAACAUGGGAAAGCUGAGCCCCUUCGAUAAAUGACCUUGAAUCUUCACUUGAAAAUGUGUUCCUUGAACGCUUGUGAGGAACGCGUGACACAUUUUUGCAGAAGUGCUUCACCAGAGCUUCCAAACCAAGCAGAGGCAGUCUGAGCUGCUGGAUGUGGUUGGCUGUGUUGUGACAAUGGUAGUGCUUGUGGUGGUGAUGGUUUUGUUGUUGUUACUCAGGACCGCUUAUUUAAAAUGCCACUCUGUAAGAAGAUCUUCACAUCUGAACUAUAAAUGCUGCUGACUGACCUCGUAAUCCCUCACUCUAAUAUUUCAUUACUACAUUCCUUUCUUAUCUUUAAUUUUACACAGUUCUGUCUUGGCAAAGAAGGAGUUUGUGAAAGUUUGUAAAUAGAAUCUGUGUGCGUGCACGUCUGUGUGUAUAUGCAUGGAGCUAGAUGGAUGCAUAUGGAUUUGUGCUACCAAAUGCAAUCAUGUUGACUCUUUGUCUACAAAUGUCUUUUGGACUAGCAGCAUUACCCCUUUGGAGACCGUAGCUAUCAAAUGAAGGACAGUAUUUUGAGGGGGCAGAAACCUUUUUUAGGAGCUAGGCUAACCACAGUGAGACUCUAAAAGAAUUAAACCAAUUGUUCAACCUAUGUCAGUUUCCUCAUAUAGCCUCCCUUGAGAGCUUGCUGCCUGCAGCACCUUCCAGCCCAAAGUUAUCUGUUCCUUCCUCGCUGUGGGUGGUAUAGGAUCUUGUGGGGGUCACCUGGGACUAAGUCAAGGUCCCCAAAGUCACCUUGCAGAAGGUUGCUUCCCACCACGUGAGGCUAAAUAAAUAUAAAUCCCACUGCAGGACAGCAAAUAGCUCACCCCGUGCAAUGUGCAUUGUCGCUGCUUUAAGGUUGAAACCAAGUUCAUGUUUAUUUCUUUCAGUGUCUCAUAUUUAAAAAUGAAGAGUGAUAAUCUGUAGUGGUGCAUUAAAUAAAUUGCUUUUUUUCCUCUUCAGAAAUGCUUUUCCUCUGGAGUAUUCAGUGGCAAUAGCAGUAAAAAGCAGUCGCUAUGCUUGUGUUCAGAGAAUGUGCUCUCUCUUGUGGCCCUGCUCUUUCAGUGAACUUUUAUCUUGCUAAAAUGAAUAUUUUACGAUUAAGAACACUUGGUCACAUCUGGUACUUCUCGAAAAUGGUUGCAUUUCCAAGAAUAGCAUGCAAACAUGAAACCAGAAUCACAAGCAGAUGUUUGCUAAUAUGGCCAUAGAUAACCUUUCAGCUUCACGCUUAAUUUUCAUGAAUAACCAUCUGUAAAGAAUGCAGAUUAAUGGAGAGCAGAGAUGAUCUCUGUCAGUGUCAAUAUGUUAACUUUACUGUAUUGCUAAUAUGGCACUCGUUACUAUAAAAUAGCAUUUCCUCGCUGUACAAAAUUGUUAGCUGCUGUUUUCAGAAAAGUGAUGCUUCCUUCUUUCUCACUUUGUCAUACUAUGUUAAGGUUGUAAAAAAGCAUUUUUAGCGUAUAAGGUGACUACUUGUGUCAACAAAACUGCUAAUUAUGGCUUGAUUCCUUAGCAAACAUUAUUUCCCUUCCCCCCCAGCUGUAGACAAUGAGUCAAGAUGUGGAACAGAGUGAACCUCUGGCUCUCUCUCCUUGUUAGCCUUUGUAUAUUUAUUGAGAUUCCUGUGACAGAGCUGGUCUAAGUGGGGUAUUGGUUCACUUGACUCCUGGCUUCGAACAACCAUAUUUAAACUUACGUUAAAAAUCCAAAACCUCAACAUCUAUCCAUAUCCAGGACAUUAUCUUUUGCUUCUCUUCUUGUAUUAUUUCUCCUUUGACUUAUAUUUAGUUUUGGAUAGCUCAGCUUACAGGUUUUGCAGAUGGUUCACUGAAAUAUCUGCCCAUGGCUAAUGGACUGGGAGACCAAGGCCUGGGCUGUGCUGUGUGCUGCACAUGGCCUUACUGAUGUGACCUUGCUGUGGUGAAACCUUAAACAUUGACAAAAUGCCAUCGUAGGGAAGGCAUGACAUGGGGCGAUGUUGGAAGCAUCCCUUAAAACCUGUGGCUUUGGCUGCUCCAAGUGUGAGGUGCCCACCAUCUGCUCUCUUUUGCAGUACCCACCAGACCCAGGUGUUAGCGUGGUUCUUGGCAGUGGUUUGAGACUUCAGAAUGGGUGUGAAUUUGAGAAAUAAGUGGUAACAGGAUGAGUUUGGAGGACGAUGUGCAUUAACAAAUGUGCUUGCCCAGGAGAGGAGCCUUGCAGAGGAGAGGUGCAAAGUGCUGAUUUAGUUAGUUCAGAAACUUCCAGAUAGCUUGUCACUUGGUGAGAAUAUUGAUGUUCUUCUGAAACAGAAAUGCAUAUGAGCAGAAAAUCUGUAUCCCAACAUAACAUUUGUAGACAAUAUGAAAGAACUGUUUGGAAAAAUAGCACAUCAAUAAGAAUUCAUUAGAGCCUUUCUCUCACUGUAGUUGAAAUACCUUCAAAGAGAAGCUAACAAUUAAAAUACAUUCAGAAGCAAAAUAGCCUUGUAGGCAUUAGGAAAGGGGUGGGUAGAAACUUCACGUUAAUAAAAUAUCCCAGCUAGAGUAUUAUUUUGCAUCUCAUGUUCUUUAGUUGGCUCCCUUGGUAACUUACAAAUGGAGAAUAAAAUUUACAAUUAUAGCUGAUUAGAUAUUAUGAGUUCUCAACAAAGUAUGUUUAUGUUCUGUAUGCAAUUAUUGCAGAGUUGCUGGGCACAACUCUGUAGUUGAUCUGAGCUAUCUUUUGCGUUCAAGCAAUUUAGUCUCUUCUGUUUUGUAUGAGGAGAACACACUUCAUUCUUCAAACUACAGCAAUCAUCAGAUAAAGAAUUUUUUUUCAACCAGUUUGUCACUUAUAGUGGAAAACUAAUCUAAUUUCAAGAAAUAAUAACUAUGCAAAAGAUUUUGAUUGUGUCAAGUGUGGUUAUGUAGGCUGUAUUUGAGUUUCAAUAAGAGUGUUCUCAGUUUGGAAGCAAUAAUCCCAGCCAUGGGGAUUAUGGCAGCCUCACUGGCUGCCAUUCCUCCUGGUUUGCUGACCUGUUCACCUUCAAGUGCGUCAGCUAUGUGAAUCCUAGACGUGGUUCUGUGGGUUCUCUGGGCUCUUAUGUGUUUUGGUGUGGUUGUCAGGCAAUGCACUGCUGCACCAUAUUGCAAGGAAAUGGAAACAAGGAGGUUCUGGUGUUCUGCCUCUUGCUUUCUCUUUGGAUGGCUGGUCUCUCACUAAUGCAGCCAGUGGUUUUCAGAUAUGGCCAACUCAUCAUUCGUUGUUCCCUACUAUUAAGCAGUGUUCUUAAGAGUAUAUAUAUUUUUGUUUUAAAGUUUUAGGAGAAUAUGUGCUGUAAUUAUCAACCUGCCAAACUUUGAAUAUGUACUAUUGGCCUUAAAUUUAGGAAAUGCGACUUUAACCACUGUCAGAUGUGAGUUAAAUGAAUAAUUGCAUGUUUAUAAGACAGAUUUUGGUAGACUUGGAAUCUUGAUAAUGCUUAUUUUUUCCAGUCAUUAUCCCCAUGAGCCUAUAUUGCAUUAAUUGCAUAGUUAAUGGUUAAACUCAUUCAUUUUCAUUUUGUGGGGAUUGUCCCUUCUGUCCUUCUUUCUUUCUGAUGUAAAGGUCUCAUUUAAAAUCCUGAAACAUGGAGAUGGAUGUUGGUAAAAUAAAGCUAAAAGGUGCUAAUAUGAAU